AGAAAAAAAGAAAAAAAAAAGAAUGAAAUUAAGAAGAUCGGUUUUCUGAGAAACCCACAAUAAAAUAAACUGUAGAAUACAAAACGAAAUACAGCUGCAGUAAAAGUAUGAAUAAUUCAAAAAUAUCUUACGGCUAAAGAACUGUCAACCGCAUUACAGCAAUCAGCAAACGAUCCGUCGAAUGAUACAUCCACUCCAUGAUUUAAGCAGUAUUCGUUCUGUCAUGUACUAUCAACGAAAAGUCUACAAUUUUUAUUUCGCAGUGAUAUUCCAAGACGGACGACGACUCGUUAAAAUAAUGUAGAUUAAGCGCGUUCGCGUACAUAGAUUUUCCCAUCGAUCGUCCUCGACGUGAGAUCAAUUAACGACAUCUGAAGCAGGUCUAAAAAAUAAGGAGGAGAGUAGAAUGUCCUCGGUUAUUUUAUAAUGCUGGACGAAGGCAGAGCAACCAGCGUAAAUGCACAGAAAAUGGUACGAGACAAAUCUCGACCAUAAACAAGUGCUCGAUAAAAAGUGGGUUGCGUCUAGAAAGAUUCAACUGCGCGGUGACGACCGUGCACAACUCCUCCCUAUCCUGAUGAUGUCGAUUAUUAAUCACAUGACGACGAUGAAGGUUGAAAGAAUCCAUAUAAAAUCCACUAAUGUAAAAUUAAAGAAAUAAUGUUACAUCAACGUUAAUCAAUUUGAAUGAAUUCCGAAUUAUCAACUAUUCCACGUAUAUAAAACGCACUUCCCAAAAAAUGUACAAUCGAACAAAAAAUAUACUCUGACGGCAAAUUACUAAAAGAAGUUUCGCUGAAAGAACACUGCUUAAUCGAAGAAUGAAUGUAUAAACUUAAACGGAAGACGUCUACUUUGUUGAACUCUAGCCAAAUCAAUCUUGCUUCUUUCUAGGAACAUGGGCCACACUGUGUUGUUAACGCUGACGAACAAAUUUACAGAAUCUACGCCCUGAAAAGAAAAAAGCUUGGUCAUAACACGUGCCAAUCAUUAUUCAAAAUGGUGGAUUCUGAGGCAGCAAGGAGGCUGUGGACCGCUGCGCUUGCGCAUUACGUCACCUUUGCAAUGGCUUCCCCACGUGCUUGUAA